rnacentral:rRNA from 1 species
UACGUAGGGGGCAAGCGUUGUCCGGAUUUAUUGGGCGUAAAGAGCGUGUAGGCGGCCAGGUAGGUCUGCUGUGAAAACUCGAGGCUUAACCUCGAGCUGUCGGCGGAAACCAUCUGGCUAGAGUCCGGAAGAGGAGAAUGGAAUUACAGGUGUAGCGGUGAAAUGCGUAGAUAUCUGGAGGAACACCGGUGGCGAAGGCGGCAUCCUGGACCAACACUGACACUGAGGAGCGAAAGCCAGGGGAGCAAACGGG